AGACCCGAAACCCGGUGAUCUAGCCAUGGGCAGGUUGAAGGUUGGGUAACACUAACUGGAGGACCGAACCGACUAAUGUUGAAAAAUUAGCGGAUGACCUGUGGCUGGGGGUGAAAGGCCAAUCAAACCGGGAGAUAGCUGGUUCUCCCCGAAAGCUAUUUAGGUAGCGCCUCGUGAAUUCAUCUCCGGGGGUAGAGCACUGUUUCGGCUAGGGGGCCAUCCCGGCUUACCAACCCGAUGCAAACUGCGAAUACCGGAGAAUGUUAUCACGGGAGACACACGGCGGGUGCUAACGUCCGUCGUGAAGAGGGAAACAACCCAGACCGCCAGCUAAGGUCCCAAAGUCAUGGUUAAGUGGGAAACGAUGUGGGAAGGCCCAGACAGCCAGGAUGUUGGCUUAGAAGCAGCCAUCAUUUAAAGAAAGCGUAAUAGCUCACUGGUCGAGUCGGCCUGCGCGGAAGAUGUAACGGGGCUAAACCAUGCACCGAAGCUGCGGCAGCGAACGUAUCACUUAAAGCGAUUCAGCGGGUUACGAUUGACGGAGCGAAGCGACGUCAAAGCGUAUACAAAGUCGAGUCGGUUUAAGGAUACGUUCGUUGGGUAGGGGAGCGUUCUGUAAGCCUGUGAAGGUGUGUCGUGAGGCAUGCUGGAGGUAUCAGAAGUGCGAAUGCUGACAUAAGUAACGAUAAAGCGGGUGAAAAGCCCGCUCGCCGGAAGACCAAGGGUUCCUGUCCAACGUUAAUCGGGGCAGGGUGAGUCGACCCCUAAGGCGAGGCCGAAAGGCGUAGUCGAUGGGAAACGGGUUAAUAUUCCCGUACUUGGUGUUACUGCGAAGGGGGGACGGAGAAGGCUAUGUUGGCCGGGCGACGGUUGUCCCGGUUUAAGCGUGUAGGUGUGUG
rnacentral:rRNA from 1 species